AACGAACGCUGGCGGCAUGCCUAACACAUGCAAGUCGAACGAAGGCUUCGGCCUUAGUGGCGCACGGGUGAGUAACGCGUGGGAAACUGCCUAUUGGUGGGGAAUAACGACGGGAAACUGUCGCUAAUACCGCAUAAGCCCUUCGGGGGAAAGAUUUAUCGCCGAUAGAUGUGCCCGCGUCCGAUUAGCUAGUUGGUGAGGUAAUGGCUCACCAAGGCGACGAUCGGUAGCUGGUCUGAGGGGAUGAUCAGCCACACUGGGACUGAGACACGGCCCAGACUCCUACGGGAGGCAGCAGUGGGGAAUAUUGGACAAUGGGCGAAAGCCUGAUCCAGCAAUGCCGCGUGAGUGAUGAAGGCCUUAGGGUUGUAAAGCCCUUUCGGGUGGGACGAUGAUGACGGUACCACCAGAAGAAGCCCCGGCUAACUUCGUGCCAGCCGCCGCAGUAA
rnacentral:rRNA from 1 species